GGUUAAGGCCACACCGCCUGCUUCACGCCCGAUCUUGUUUGAUCUCGGAAGAUAAGAUAGGUUCGGCCCUGGUUAGUACUUGGAUGAGAGACCGCCUGGGAAUACCAGGUGCUGUAAGCU
rnacentral:rRNA from 1 species